CAGUAGCCACGGUAAUACGUAGGUGGCAAGUGUUGUCCGGAAUUAUUGGGCGUAAAGGGCUCGCAGGCGGUUUCUUAAGUCUGAUGUGAAAGCCCCCGGCUCAACCGGGGAGGGCCAUUGGAAACUGGGAAACUUGAGUGCAGAAGAGGAGAGUGGAAUUCCACGUGUAGCGGUGAAAUGCGUAGAGAUGUGGAGGAACACCAGUGGCGAAGGCGACUCUCUGGUCUGUAACUGACGCUGAGGAGCGAAAGCGUGGGGAGCGAACAGGAUUAGAUACCCCUGUAGUCCCUGUCUCUUAUAC
rnacentral:rRNA from 1 species